UUUUUAAAGUUGUAUAGUAUUCCUUUAUAUAGAUAUUCCACUUAUUAUUUAUCUGGUCCCCUCCCUCUGACAUUUAUAUUGACUCCAAAGUUUUGCAGUCACAACAGUUCUAUAGUGCACAUCUAUCCUCGUAAGAAUAUCUUUGUGCAAACAGAAGUAUUUCUAUAGCUUUAUUAUUCAGAGACUGGUGAUUUGGGAACAGUUAUAGACAUAAGUACCAUUAGUAGAUUGCAGAACUAGCCCCAAUUAUGUUCUCUUCCUGGAUCCACACAUUGUAAUGCUGUUCUCCUUUAAUCCUGCAUUUGGCCAGCUCUAUAGGAUAAGUUCCUAGAAGUGGCAUCAUUGGGUCAAGAAUAUGCUCAUUUUAAUUUUAUUUUUUUUACAUUUUAUAUAUUUUUGAUAGAGCACAAGUGGGGGAGGGGCAGAGAGAGACAGAGACACAGAAUCCGAAGGGGGCUCCAGGCUCUGAGCUGUCAGCACACAGCCCGAUGCGGGGCUCAAACUCACAAACCGCAAGAUCAUGACCUGAGCCGAAGUCGGACACUUAACUGACUGAGCCACCCAAGUGCCCCAAGAAUAUGCUUCUUUUAAAUUCUUAAGUUAGUACUAAACUUCCCUGCAAAGAGGGUAUAUCAAUUCAUACUCCCUCCAUCAAAAUAUGAGGGUGCUCAUUCUUUCACAUUCCUGCCACUGGGUAUCAUAGAAUAUAUACAGAUUUGCCAAUCUAGUGGGACAAAAAGAGUUUUUCACUUUUGUUUUCAUUUCUAUUUUCCUGAGUCUAUACAGCUCAGCCACAGGCCCAUUAGCAGAAGAAAGCUUCGUUUGUGAAGACCUGAAGAAGAGCUCAAGAAUGAGUAGCAAAUUUAGGGCAGCCCUGAGGAAGAACUUAAUGCCAGUGAAUGAAUGCUCUCAGGAUCUAGUCAAUAUCCUGCUUAAAGCUAUUCGGUGGCUACUGAAUGACUAUUCCUCAUUAUCCACAUUCCCGGACCCUGCGUGAUCUGGCCUCGUCUUACACAUUGCCCGUUCUUCAACUUGAACCUUUAGGAAUACUGAACCGUUUGUUCACCUGCACACACAUAGCUUUUCAUGGGUUGCGUCUGCUCAUCUCCAACUCAGUUUGCCUAGGGAACUCCUACUCAUUUGGCAGUGCUCUGUUCAGACAUAGAUUCUGUGAGGGUUUCUGUGACCUGUUCCUACCCCCAGGACAAAGAGUCUGUCAGCUCCACUGUAAUGGACUGUGUCCACUAUUCUAGUCACCCCUGAACCCCCGCCCUGCAUUGAUUGAAUGGAUUCCUUUCUUAGCCUGA